rnacentral:rRNA from 1 species
CAGUCGCCGCGGUAAUACGUAGGGUGCAAGCGUUAAUCGGAAUUACUGGGCGUAAAGCGUGCGCAGGCGGUUUGUUAAGACAGAUGUGAAAUCCCCGGGCUCAACCUGGGAACUGCAUUUGUGACUGGCAAGCUAGAGUAUGGCAGAGGGGGGUGGAAUUCCGCGUGUAGCAGUGAAAUGCGUAGAUAUGCGGAGGAACACCGAUGGCGAAGGCAGCCCCCUGGGCCAAUACUGACGCUCAUGCACGAAAGCGUGGGGAGCAAACAGGAUUAGAUACCCCCGUAGUCCCUGUCUCUUAUAC